AGAGACUCUCACACCGCCGAGUACUAGAUCAGUGACGCUGGCUGGCCUUGCAUUACAGCUGAGGUAUAACCUCGUUCUCCCACCUUACCUGCCAUUUCCAAGUAAUUGCUUUUGGACAGAUGGUAAGCCAGUAGCGUGGUUAUGUGACUAGCAGCUUGGCUCCCUUCCCACUCCCUGACAAAAGAAAUCUGCUUCAGGCUAUGCAGACAUAGUUUAUUUUUCUUCGCCCUGCUUCCCUUCCAGCACUGCAAACCAGUUCACACAGAAGCUGAUUGCUUCGACAACUGGAGCUCUCUGGCUGAGGACCACCUCCACCUGUGCCUCUUGACAUGGCUGUGGCUGAGUGAUGUGGGUGAAUAUAAAGCAGACUUUCCUGCUAUACAUGGUUUUGCACUGACUCAAAAGCAAGCACAGCACACAAGAUUUGGACCCUUUGG
rnacentral:lncRNA from 1 species